AGGGACAGACGCCAUCUUGGGGAGGUCACAGCUGCGCUCCCCGUUACCUCAGAGCCCCCUCAGUGCCUCUUAUUUUAUUCCUGUGAAAAAUAAACAUUUUGGAUCACUGCCCGGCGACGUUUUCCUCGCCUCAGCCACCGCACAGCGCCCUGGGGGUGUCGGGGUGGGGGAAGCUGCGUUGCUGAGGGGAUUUGGAUUUGUAGAAAGGAGGCGACAGUCAGGCAAAGCUUACGUGGGACCUCACAGUUUAUUGUGUGACAUUUGGGGUUCAGAGCUGUGGUGGGGUCGUGGGUUUGUGACAGGGGACAUCUGAGGGCUUCCAGUGGUAACCUGAAGUGUGAAGGAGGGAGAAUUAAGAUGCAGAGGGGAAAAGGUGAGGGAAAUAAUAAAAGUAGGGCUAAAACUGAUUAAUAGGAGGGAUUUUAAGGAGGGAUUUCAGAAUGAAGCUGUCAGGAUGAGAUGUUUUCCUCACAGCUGAAGGAUGGGUGCGAGGAAGGAGGAGAGUCUGAAAAACAGAGGAAGGAGGCAAAGGAAAUAACAAAAAUAGGGAUACAUCUGUUUUAUAAGGAGGGGUUUUAAGAAAGGAUCACUUAAAUGCAAUGAAGACGUCAAGUGUGAAGUGUUUUCCUCACAUCUAAAGGAUGUUGUGGAUGAGUGCUUCCAAUGGGAGGUGUAAGGGAGGAGGAUUUGAAAUACAGAGAAAAAAGGAGGUGAGGAAAUAAUAAAAAUAGGUACAAAUCCAUUUUAUAGGGAGGGUUUUAAGAAAAGAUCACUUAAAUGCACUGAAGACAUCAAGUAUGAAGUGUUUUCCUCACAUCUAAAGCAUGGUGAGGAUGAGUGCUUCCAAUGGGAAGUAUAAGGGAGGAGGACUUGAAAUACAGAGGAAAAAGGAGAGGAAGGAAAUAACAAAUAGGUUUAAUUCUGAUUAAUAGGAGGGAUUUUAAGAAGGGAUUUCAGACUGAAGCUGUCAGGUUUGAGAUGUUUUCCUCAUGGCUCAAGAAUGGGUGCGAGGAGGGAGGUUAACAGGAGCUUGUUUGCAGCUGGAAACAGUAAUCAUAGUUUUACAGUAAUCAUAGUUUUAUUUCUGUUGGCAUAAAAUGUAUGUGUAUAUAUAUGCAUAUAUAUAUGUGUGUGUGUGAUAUUUAUUUUUUAUUUUUUAAAUUUCAGGAUACCAUCUGUGCCUGGUAGAAACCUCUUCUGUGGGUAUAUCAGAGUUAUACAAACACUGUUGUUAUCCUAAUAUCCACUCCUGGUGGUUUACAACUUCCCUUAGAACCAUAGAAUCAUUCAGGUUGGAAAAGACCUCUGACAUCACCAAGUCCAACCCCUGCUCAUCCCCAUCAUGCCCACUGAACCACAACCCUCAGUGCUACAUCUCCACAUUACUGAACACCUCCAGGGACAGUGACCCCACUGGGUACCCAUUCCAGUGCCUGACCACUCUAUGAGAAGCCAUUUUUCCUAGUAUCCAGUGCCAGUCUCAGUGAAAUGGGAGGCAUCUUAACAUGCUGACCAUCUCGCAGCCCUCUAUGCAUUUUAUGAACUGAGAAAUGUAGGAGUAACUUCAUCCCAUCGAUGGAAUGAAACACAGCCACCAUUUUUUUUUUUCUGUUAACAGAUGGAAUAAAGCUGUAAAUGGCCUCCAAGGGCAGGCAUUUAUGACCACACUGCAUCCAUCAGAAGAUGGAAGAAUAUGGGAAGUGUGGUAAGAAGAACUGCAGAGCCAGCCGAGUCAAUUGGCAUGCGUGUCAGGUCAGCUCAGGAUCAAAUGUCCACUCUGCAGAGUCACACUCCAUUUGUUGCCUCUGCAGUGCCCCUGCAUUUCUUUGGGAGCUUUGCAGCCUCAUGCACACUCUCACAGCAUGUUGAGGAGAAAAAAAAAAAACACCUCUGCUUUUUGCAUGAAUGUCAUCUUAGCUCCUAGACUCAGGGACUCUGAGUUUGAGAUGCUCUGGGUUUCUGCUAUUGGUCUUCUGUGAGUACCAAGUGUGGAUCAGGGCCAGGUGGUGACAUGCCAGUUGCUGUGAUGAGAGAAUGACCUGGUGGGGCUUGCUGCUCCUGGAAGCAGGGUGAAGCUUUGCCAGCACAUUCAGACGUGUGGAGGCAGCUGAUGGGGACUAAUAGCUGUGGAAUUCCCUUGUGCUAAUCAGCAGCUUUGGAACAGGGCCACGAGCACAAAGAGUUGGGUCUGUGCCACCCGAGCGGCGCAGUAUAACCCAACAGAACCUCCACAGGAUGAAGGUCACUUUCUGGUACAUCAGAGGGAGGCAGACUCACGUGAUCCACCAAGAAAUUUUCAUAGUGCUGGGCGUGGUAACACUGCAAUAGCUUCAGGAGGCUCUGGAGGUACCCGCAGUGGAGGUUUUAAAGACAGAUUAGUCAAAUACUGCUCAGGAAUGCUGCAGGUAGAGUUGUUCGUGCUUCAGGGAGAGGGAUGGCUGACAUAAGGUCCCAUCCAACUGCAUAUUUCAGCCACGUGUCACUAAUUGGUUUGGAAUAGGCAGAUGAAGCUAUGAGCUGUUGAUAGAGCAUGUUUACAAAGCAGUGGCUUGGGCUGGGCCUAACACGUGCCCUUUUUUUUCUCCACCCCUCUCAAGGAGUUCUUAUCUGAAGACUUGCAGAUGGGACCCAAGCCUCUCGAUGAGGAAGGGCAUGGACAUUCAUUUGGAAUGCACCAGGCAGGUCCUCAAGAAAUAGAAUUUCCCAGAGUAAACAAACUAACUCUUUUUACAGAAUUGAAUGUCAGUGCAUUUCCCCAGGUUCUCAUGGCCACCCUUGUGUCAUAGACUCACACACCUGUUGUAGUAGGCGUAGUAGUUUCCCAUGGGAAAAAGAGGUGCCAAAAGGUUAACUGUGAGUCCAAAUGGAUGUUUUGCCAACAGAAGGGUAGGGAACAUAGCUUGCACACCUGUGGGAGCGUCAGGGUUGGUUAGGACAUGACAAAUCCAGCAUCCAGGAGGACAGGGAGGAGAUUAGCAGGGCGAAGGCAAACAAUGCGUGGUGGAAAAGGUGAGUUCUGGUGACAGAGUGGGUCCAGAAAAGCUUAGAUGUCCACAUCUUUGGCCUGGAAAGAGAAUGUGGAAGGGAUAAUGUGCCAGAGUAGCCAGUGAGCAAAUACAAACCAAACAGCAGCCUCCAGUAAUGGAGGGAGUGGCUGUGGGAGUGCAGCUGUGUCACAAUCAGAAGGUUUGCAAGUGAGAAAAAGUUCUGUGGACUUUUAGGGACCACAAAGAAAGAUGAUUCCAUAAGGGGAUGAGGCGCAUGAUGAUUGAGCAGAGGAAACUGAGUAGUUUAAACAUUCAUUUUAAACAUAGGGGAAUGCUACAGACACAUCUGUUUCCAGAUUAAAAACAAAAACAUCCAUUACUUUCCUUUAACACAAGUCUUUGCAACAGUGAUUGUUCAGUAACGUGCAAUAAAAUAGAUUUGCAGGGCACGUAAAGAGCCAGACUUGUUUUCAUUACUUUAGGGAGGAUGUUGAUAGCGUGAUGAGUUUGUUAGAAGUAGUCUUGAUUGGGUUCUGGCUGCUGCAGCUCCUCUGGAGCCAGAUUAGACCAAAGCUGAGUCAGGAUUUGGGGAGAAUUUCUGUGAUGAAAGGCUGUUAUGGUUUGUGCUGUCACCAAAAUCCACACAGGUGCAGUAAUUCUGGAGAGCUGCUGCUGUUGGAUGAAGGAUUCCUGCAGCAUCAUCCAGAGCCUGAUCUUUACCCUCAGUUCUCCAGCACGGUGUGAAGAUCCAGGAGCAGCCCAGAUUGAGGCUGAAACCACUGUUUUGGUGGUGAUUCCACAACAAAAUGGGGUCUGAAUGUGCAGCAGUACAACUGAUACACGGCUACUCUUGGGGACAGCAGCUUUACACUCAUGGUUCCCCUCUUUCAGCAUCCAGUAACCAGUCUGGCUUUUGGUCUUGCCCUGCAUCAACUUGCCUUUUCACUUCACUUCUUCUCACAAUCAGUGAUUACUUUUUGUUCUGCCAGUACCCAGAUGAGUGUGAUUCUCUGAUCUCUAUGAAACAGCAGUAAUAGUAACAACUACCUGGAGAGUGGCACGGACGAACACACUUAGGCCUUUCAGUGCCUUUUCCUUGCUGCUCAGCACCAAACUGCAGCAGAUCUUACAGCCAAAAUAGUUCAUGAAGAGACAGAGAUGAGGCACUAAAGAAGGAAGAAAUGCUCUAGGAACUCUGUUGGCAGGAAGGCUUUUCUCUCCCAUCUCCACAUUCUGCCCUAAGCUUAUUUUUAUAAAUACAUUGAUGAAGGCUUUUUUCUUAGUCACUUCUUAGAACAGGAGCUGCUUCCUUGUAACUCAUUGUGGGACAGAGCAGCAGUGCUGUGGUGAGCUUGGGAGCCCAGCCCCAUGGUGGAAGCUCAUUAGAUCCUCCUAAUGCUGGCUAUGGCACAUGAUGCUUCUGAAUAACUUGCUGCCUUUUGUACAGGGCUGCAAGUCUGCUCUUUGUAAGAUGCUUCCUCAUGUCCUAUCUGCCUUUCUUAGGUUAAUAGUUUCCCCAAGCAGUCACUGAAGACUGAUGGCACAAUGUUGGAUUUGCUUUUCUUCAUUACUCAAGGCAAUUUUGCCUAAGCUACACAACAGGCAAGGCGAUUUCCCCUUGGCUGGACUAGCUGUCUGCACACAAUUACACUUCUCUAUUAUUAGUGAGAGUGAGCUGGGCUGAGUUUACAACUGUGCAGGAGAGAUAAGCUCAAGACGACUGUGCUUCCUCUCCAAGGGGCUGCUGAGCUGCAUUCAGCUCUGCGUCUGAGACACCGCCGUCCUGAAAUGGGGAGGAAUUCUUGUCCUCUGAAUGGGGAUGCCCAAAAAGAGCAGGCUGGGUGUGUUUCUUUUAAUGGAAGAUUAGACAGAGAAUCACAUGAUUUUACCCUCUUUACCCAAGACACUGGAGUCACAGGAGCUUUCUGAUACCCAUUUUUAUGUCAGAACAAUCACAUCCUGAACACCUUUUACUAAAUGAACUAAACAAUCUAUACAACUAGUCCAAGCACAGAUGCAGAUGCAUAGAUUUAUGGGAGAUUAAUGCCAUGAGUCUCAGUUUUUAUGGCUCUCACAUUUAGCAACACGCGAGGAGAAGAACUGCAUGUCAGAAGUGCUAAUUGUUACCUUCCCAUGCUGAUGAUAGUGCACUUUCUUAACCGAAAGAGAUGAAAUGAAGGAAUGCUGGGGGAAGGGAGAUGUAACAAGUGUGAGGAAUCAAAGCAUCUGCACUUAGAAGAAAACAGAGCUACUCCUUGGACAUUUUCCAAGGGCACGCUGUAAUUAACAGGUACUCCCAAGAUGCCCGUCUUCAAAAGGUGCCAAAAUUCCUCGAUAAGUUAUCUCAGGAGCCAAAACAACAGGUGAGAGAAGGACUGUUGCUUUCAAGGACGCCACUUCAGGUCACACCAUUCAGAUGAGCUGGGUACUGUGGAACGCUCGAUAGUUAUUAUUGGAUUAAGGCAGAGCCUCAUGCUAAUAAAGCUGCAGUAUGCCCCAAAAGAGGAUGUCUGCUUGAGCAUUGCUUAUCCUGAAGAACAGAAGCACAGGGUGAGAUUACACAAAAUUAAGAUCAUGAGAGGAGGCAAUGUUAUCAACAGUAUUAAAAGAAAUAGUAAUUUCAUAAUUUCAUAAGUAAUUUCAUUUUCUUCCAUUCCUGCAAGUCACGUCAGAAGCUUUAAACCAACGAUGCCUCUCUUUAUCAAGCCCUCUUAUGAAGCAAGGACAGGAAACUACCAGAAUCCUCAAAAGCAAAUGACACAGAAAAGGAGUUUUCUCCAUAGUGCCAAUUACAACAAGAAGACGGUUUGAACUCCCGAAUUCACUGAAUGCCUCCAGAAAACCACCAGUAACUGGGUAACACACUAGGAUGCAACGAGAACACCCCAGCAUCUGGAAUGGAAAGCUUCAAUACCUGCAAGCGUAAUGAUACCCAGACAGCACAUCUGAGAGAGCAACCACUGUUCCUGUGUCAGUUCAGGACACAUCCUCUCUUGUCCUGCUGCAUCCUUCCAGUCGGUGUGCUGGAAGAAUCUGGGAGAGAUGCACAGACUCACUUGACAUACUGCUUCACCAAGGACUGCCUUAAACUGACACAGAGGAAAUGGAGCGAAGCGACUCUGAUCUGUAACAUAAAUCUUGUGGUUUCCAGCCAGGAUGUUCGGACUAACAGUGAUUACGCUUUUUUUUGGCAACACUUGGGCAGAUGAGAGUUCCUAACAGUGUCCCAUUGAUCCCAUACCACCCAGUGUGACAACUGGACUCUGAAGUAUCCAGAUAUCUAUGCUUGCGUGGCGUUUGCCAUCGCCUACGAGCAACCAGAUUUGGCUCUUUCGAAAAGAGGGAAAGCUGAGCCCGGCCAAGUGGAGAAGUGAGACCAGGGAAUGCUGGAAAUAACAACAGGGUCACCACUCGACACCACAGCAGCCCCAGAGCCCGCGUCAAGGAGGAAGGAUGGUUUGAAAGGAAGUUUGGAAACAGAAUGGAAACUGUCAGAUUUAUUUGCCCUGAAGAGAAAGGGAUUGAGUUCAGGAAGGAUGAGAGGAAAUGAGGCUAAAACUGGAAGGAGAAGAAUCUUCAGGCAGUGAAGAAGACAACUUGCAAACAGCCAAACUUUCUGCAGCCACCUGCAGGCUGAAGAAAAAGCUCUGCAUGCAGUUUGCAACAGAAACUGAGCACGCAGCCAUUCCUGGAACCAACAGUUGUGUUCGGGGGAGAUGAAAACCCUCACUGUGAAUGGGGGGAAUUUCCAACUGCUGUCUGCUGGUGGUUGGUGAAGCACAAUGUCAAGAUGGAAUAUUUUCUAGCACUGCUGGAGAAGCAGCACCUUGGGCUCAGAAGUGCUGCAGAGUGGUGUUUGAAGCACGUCAUCGUGACUGAACAAAU